rnacentral:rRNA from 1 species
AAAGCGUGCGCAGGCGGUUAUGCAAGACAGAUGUGAAAUCCCCGGGCUCAACCUGGGAACUGCAUUUGUGACUGCAUGGCUAGAGUACGGUAGAGGGGGAUGGAAUUCCGCGUGUAGCAGUGAAAUGCGUAGAUAUGCGGAGGAACACCGAUGGCGAAGGCAAUCCCCUGGACCUGUACUGACGCUCAUGCACGAAAGCGUGGGGAGCAAACAGGAUUAGAUACCCCGGU